AACGAACGCUGGCGGCAUGCCUAACACAUGCAAGUCGAACGAACUCUUCGGAGUUAGUGGCGCACGGGUGCGUAACGCGUGGGAAUCUGCCCUUGGGUACGGAAUAACUCAGAGAAAUUUGUGCUAAUACCGUAUAAUGACUUUGGUCCAAAGAUUUAUCGCCCAAGGAUGAGCCCGCGUAAGAUUAGCUAGUUGGUGGGGUAAAAGCCUACCAAGGCGACGAUCUUUAGCUGGUCUGAGAGGAUGAUCAGCCACACUGGGACUGAGACACGGCCCAGACUCCUACGGGAGGCAGCAGUGGGGAAUAUUGGACAAUGGGCGAAAGCCUGAUCCAGCAAUGCCGCGUGAGUGAUGAAGGCCUUAGGGUUGUAAAGCUCUUUACCCGGGAUGAUAAUGACAGUACCGGGAGAAUAAGCUCCGGCUAACUCCGUGCCAGCAGCCGCGGUAAU
rnacentral:rRNA from 1 species